CCUACGGGUGGCAGCAGUGAGGAAUAUUGGUCAAUGGGAGGAAUCCUGAACCAGCCAUGCCGCGUGCAGGACGACGGCUCUACGAGUUGUAAACUGCUUUUGUACCGGGGUAAAAUGCUCUACGAGUAGGGUUUUGAAAGUACGGUACGAAUAAGGAUCGGCUAACUCCGUGCCAGCAGCCGCGGUAAUACGGAGGAUCCGAGCGUUAUCCGGAUUCAUUGGGUUUAAAGGGUGCGUAGGUGGUUUUAUAAGUUAGCGGUGAAAUACCGAUGCUCAACAUCGGGACUGCAGCUAAUACAGUAGGACUAGAGAUCGGAUGCAGCAGGCGGAAUGUGUAGUGUAGCGGUGAAAUGCUUAGAUAUCACGAAGAACUCCGAUUGCGAAGGCAGCUCACUGGACUGCAACUGACACUGAGGCUCGAAAGUGUGGGUAUCAAACAGGAUUAGAUACCCGAGUAGUC
rnacentral:rRNA from 1 species